rnacentral:rRNA from 1 species
UACAGAGGUCUCGAGCGUUGUUCGGUUUCAUUGGGCGUAAAGGGUGCGUAGGUGGCGCUGUAAGUCGGGUGUGAAAUCCUGAGGCUUAACCUCGGAACUGCAUUCGAUACUGCGGCGCUUGAGGACUGGAGAGGAGACUGGAAUUCAUGGUGUAGCAGUGAAAUGCGUAGAGAUCAUGAGGAAGACCAGUGGCGAAGGCGGGUCUCUGGACAGUUCCUGACACUGAGGCACGAAGGCCAGGGGAGCAAACGGG